GAGCCUAACCUACCGCGUGAUAGUCGCCAAAGGUCAGACCCUGCCUCACAUGGUGUAGUGGCGUGCAGCGCAGUGAGCGCAGUGACGUCGGCUUUUGUGACUGACUGGUAGGUAUAUAGCACCGAGGACCGUGUGGUGCACCAAAUAGUCGGCAGCUCAUUGCCGUCAAAGGGAAGUAGUGGGAAAAGGAACGGCCAUGAAGCUUUUCUAUUGGCUGCUGAUACUGACUCUUCUUGGCGCACUGUGCCUGGAGGGCGCCGAGGGAUGGUGCCGCCGGUGCCCGCGCGGCUGGCGCCACUGCCACUCGCGCUUCCCACAGUACUACUGCUGCAGAAGGAGACGAGGCGGACGCUGGACCUACCGCUGGAGAAACUGUUAGACCCGACCAGCACGGCUACCAUGGAAACGACACCGGCACGAACACCGAUCAGAAAACAUCGACUAAUAUGCCGCUAUACCCUGCAUCGACCCAGAGGACGAGGAAUGGUUUGAUGCCAGACUUUAUAGGCGAUUUUGCACUUUUUGGUCUAAUACGAAAGAUAGUUUUAAUUUUGAUAUUAUGUGAAUUAUUAUUUUAACCUCACUCAUCACUGUUAUUUUUGGAGCGUCCAAUUGGACUAGGUAAUGUCGUAUUCAUCAGGCUAUUUAAUUGCUGAUUCUCUCGUCACGUCACCACGGAAAUAAACGUUUUCAAUGGCA